CCAGGCUCAAGGCUCUGUCACGCUGAGGGAGGGAGCACCUAGCCAAGGCUGUCAUGCCUCCUACCCCCCACACUGGCUACUAUCCACCCCAACCCCCACCUCAGCUCAAGGCUCCAGGCUCUCCCUGACAGGAAGCUUCUGCUCCUGGUUCUUGCUGCUGGCCACUUCCCUUCCUCCCUCUGACUUCCCAGCAGCUGCUGAGAUUUGCAGACCGCUCGCUGACCUGGUGCCCAGCUUGGACUGGACAAGGACUCACUUCGGAAAAGUCUGUACCCUCGACGAAUUACAGCAAGGGAGUGACUUUCUGGAUCCCUGGCAAUGCAAGUAGUACUCCACCCUAGAGACCUUCUCAUCUUCUACCUGCCUUCUCCAAAACUGCUGGGACAAAGGCUGGCCUCAGACUCAAGGCAGUCCUCCUGCCUCAGCCUCCCAGACACUGAGAUUCCAGGUGUGAGGUACCAUGCUCAGCCUGAGCACUUCAUGAUAGCAAUGUAUCACAUCCAUCGCACUUAUCUGUCAGACCUUUGGGGUUUUUUCUGUAUUGCUUUCGAGCCUGUCCUGGAACUCGCUCUGUAGACCAGGAUGGCCUUGAACUCACAGAGAUCCACCUGCCUCUGCCUCCCAAGUGCUGGGACUAAAGGCAUGCACCACUAACGCCUGACAAACAUGCUCUUAACACACCGAAAUUCCA
rnacentral:lncRNA from 1 species